rnacentral:lncRNA from 1 species
CAUUAAAUCAAUUUAAUAAAUUAAGAUUAUCGUCUGCAACUGUUAUCUUUUCUUUAAUUUUGAAGGACUUGAGCGUCUUUCAUUUACCUACAUAAUUUCGUAAGCGGUUUUCCCGCUUUUAUUUGGUAUAAAAUUGCAUGCUUUUCGUGAUUUGUUCAUUGCGUGAUUUGAACUGAAGGAACACAAAACCCACCCUAUCCCACCCUUGAGAAUAUUUUCUGCUCUCUGUUGUAUAUUUUCAGAUAUCGUUAAAGAAGCGUCAUGGAUUGGACAGAAUAUAAACUGAAUAUAUUGAUUACUGAAUGGCUGAAUUUAUUACAGUUGGCGUCUGGUAGCCCAGUUGCCAUUUAAAGAAAACAUAUGAUGGUUGCCCUUCAAUGUUUUAAUCUUGGACAUUAAUGAGACAUUGUCGAUGAAUGCAAAUUCAUAGGCCGGUUGAUAUAUAGUUGAACUGUCCUAAUAAAUCCAUGACAAAAAAUUGCCAAAAUUCAAACUUACUAUUUGUUGUUUUUUAUUAUGAUUAUUAUUUAGUUUGUCUUACAAUUUAUCUUCAUUUGUAUAACGAAGGUAAUCUGGAGUCAUUGGAAAUAUUACGAGUGAUUUCAAUGGAUUUGGGUUAUCUUUUAUCUGGUAUAUCGAAUUCCUAAAUCUAUAUCUUUGGUUUCUUUCGAAUAUUUAAUAA